rnacentral:rRNA from 1 species
UACGGAGGGUGCAAGCGUUAUCCGGAUUCACUGGGUUUAAAGGGUGCGUAGGUGGUUUUGUAAGUCAGUGGUGAAAGCCCGGAGCUCAACUCCGGAACUGCCAUUGAUACUGCUUAACUUGAAUCAACUUGAGGUGGAUGGAAUAUUACAUGUAGCGGUGAAAUGCUUAGAUAUGUAAUAAGAACACCGAUUGCGAAGGCAGUUCACUAAGGUUGUAUUGACACUGAGGCACGAAAGCGUGGGGAUCAAACAGG